rnacentral:lncRNA from 1 species
GAGGGUCAUAGUUUUAUUGCUGAGUGUCAGGGAAGGGGCUCAAAUCCGCCCAAUCUCCCUCAGCUUGGCCACCAGGUCCUCCGUGGUCUCCACCUUGACGCCGGCCGUGCGCUGGGGCGGGUCCUCCACACUAACCACGGAGAGCUUGGAGGUAAGGUCCACACCCAGGUCUCCGGGCUUGAUGACCUCAAUCUUCUUUUUCUUGGCUUUCUGCACAUGGGCAGUGACAGUUCACAGGGCUGCUGAAGCCCUGCCCAGCCUCCCACAGCCUCCCACCCACGAGUGCCAUGUCUGCAGAACCAAUCCCAUUGCCCGAACUUUUCUGGACCCCGCUAGCCAGACAGACGUGACCUACUGGGAAGCCCUUCUGCUGAGGGUCCCUGUUUAGUUAGCUGUCUUGAGAAGCCCUUCGCGGGCUGAAAUGGACUCCCAAACUCAACCUUCUAGCUUAAUGAGUCCGGCCCAUCUGACCCACGGAACCCACCCUUCUGAGACGACCCACUGAACUCUCCCUGGUGGCUGAGAUGAUCCACUGAACCCUUCCUAUUGGCUGAGAUGAUGCCCUUCCUAUUGGCUGAGAUGGCACACUAAACUCUCCCUAUUGGCUAAAAUGACCCAAUGAACCCAUCCUACAAGCCAAGAUGAACAGUAAACUCUUCCUUUCCGCAGGGUGAUGAUCCCUUCCUUCAUACAAGAAGUCCCUGGGCGUGCAAUGCACUCAUGCAUCCUUGGGCCCUCGGUGACCCAUCUGCUAAGUGCUCACCAUGAUGUUGGGCAACGUGGCAUAGCGAGGUUCGUUGAGCCGCAGGUCGGCGGUCACCACGGCAGGCAGCUUCAGGCGCAGGGUCUCCAGGCCCCCGUCAAUCUCCCGCUCCACUUUCACCUUGUCCCCUUCCAGUGUCACCUGGGAGGCGAAUGUGCCCUGGGGAGAUGGGAGGGUGGGUGAGGUCAAUUCACGGCAGGCACAGAGCGACGUGAGCACAUGCACAGGUGAGCGAAUGAAUGAGAGAAGAGAGUCCUGCAAGGUAACCUUUAGACAUCAAGUUCACCAACAGGAAGAUGCCACAGAAAGGGAAAAUCUCAAAAAUCUGUACUUUCACUGGCAGCCAACGUGUAGGUCUUAAUGACCUGAACCUGCCAGUUAGGUCCCGACCUAUUAUUAACCUUCCUUAAUAAUGAUGAACACGUAUUGCGUGUAAACAACUUCCGCGCACUAAGUCAUCAGGCCCUCAGGAACUCUAUACGGGAAACGCUAUUAUCCCCACUUUACAGAUGAGGAAAACUGAGGCAGGGCGAGGCUCAAAAAUGUGCUGUCACCCAAGAGCUGGCAGUCUGGCUCUAAGCUCCAUGUCAUGCUCCCACUACCCACCAUUCUGUCCCCAGGAGUUCCCUUCGAGGCCCCUCUGCUGGGGUAACAACAGACUCAUGUGCUCACCUUGACCCUGGAAACAUCUGCUGGGACCCCAUCUUUGCUCAGCGCCCACGCCCACACUCUCGCCAACGCCCCUCUGUGCCUCAGUCCUGAAUCAACAUUUCCUGAUGUACCUACACCCUCUCUGUCUAAUCGGCCCAUUGUCUCCAUUCGCUCACUCACUGGACAAACCUUUCAAGUCUUAGCCGGGACGUUCCGUCACCCCUAGUCUCAUCCGAACACCCCAUGAGCCAGCCCUGGGGAUACACAGUGAACAUGACCAACAAGGCCUGGGCUUUCGGGGGCAUUUAUCCUGGCCGGGAAGACUGCUGGUAACCAAGUGACCGGUAACCAAGUAAUAACGGUAAUCAAGUGGACUCACACGUCUUCUGAGCAUGUGAAAUGUGGCUCGUGUGAUUGAGGGAUGGAAUUUUUCAUCUUUAUUUUUUUUUUAAGUUUGUUCGUUCGCUUGUUUGUUUGUUUGUUUGUUUAGAGAGCAUGUGCGUGCAUGCAUGCAAGCAGGGGAGGGACAGAGAGAGGAGGAGAGAAUCCCUAGCAGGUUGUCAGUGCAGAGCUGGAUGCCGGGCUCGAUCCUACGAACCGACAGAGAUUAGCACCACCCCUGCGCAAGGAUGACACACAAAUUCGUGAAGUGUUCCGUAUGUUUGAUGUAAAUUUUAAAGAAUAAAAAAUAAAAUUAAAAAGAAAAAAAAAUGUGCAGUUUAUUGUAGACCACUUACAUCUCAACAAAGCUAUUUAAAAAAAUCCUCAAUGCGAUCACUGGAAAACUUUGAAGUGUGUUUGGAACAACCUGGGUGUGUGAAUCUACAUUUUCAACUGUGGAUUUUAGGAAUCUAAAUUAAGUAUUUCUGAUGAAAAUUCAGCAUCUGAAUGGAGAUGUGCUGUAGACAUAAAAUCCACCCUGGAGGGGUGCCUGGGUGGUUCAGUCGAGUACUCAUCUGACUCUUGAUUUCAGCUCAGGUCAUAAUCUCGUGGUCUGUGAGUUUGAGCCCCAUGUUGGGUUCUGUGCUGACAGCAGGGAGCCUGCUUGGGAUUCUCUCGCUCUUCCUCUCUCUCUGUCCCUCCUCCACUCUCACUCUCUCUCAAAAUAUAACUAAACUUAAAAAAUAAUAAAAUAAAAUAAAAUAAAAUAAAAUAAAAUAAAAUAAAAUAAAAUAAAAUAAAAUAAUUUAAAAUAAAAUAAAAUACAAUAAAAUAAAAUAAAAUCCACACUGGAUUCUGAAGACGUCAUACAAAAGGAAAAAAGAAUAUGACAGAGCUCAGGAGUUUUUAUAUUGAUUAUAUGUUGGGAUGAUAAUACUUUAGAUGUGUUAGGUUAAAUAAAAUAUUAUUGCAAUUCAUUUUGCCGGAUUCUUUUUACUUUUUUAAUCUGGCUGUGAAAAAUUCUAAAUUACCUAGGUGGCUCGUGUUUCUACUGGACUGGCAGAGGUGGGGAGUGGGGAAUCUGGAACUGAGGAGGGGACAUGAGGAUUUCAUACAGGGUGGGUAAGGAAGGCCUCUCUAAAGAGGUAAUAACUGAGCACAGACCUAAAGGAGAGAGUGGGAAAGGCAUGAGGCAAUCUGAGGGAACCAUGUUCUGGGUUGAGCAAGUGCAAAGGCCCUGAGGCAGGGAUGACGUUGGCGUGUGGUUGGAGAGUGACAGGGCUGAAGACAGAGCACCAAAGGCCUGGAUGAGGCCUGGCGUCCUGGCUGUGCACUCCCCCUUCCUGCCAGCAGGAGUAGCCAUCCUUGCACAUGCCUUCCUCCAGAAAGGCAGGGACAAGGGUGGCCCUGUUCUGAGCCCCCAGGUCUAGCCCCCAGAAGGUACUCCUCACUCCAGCCUCACCUGUGGCCAGUCUAGAAAUCCAGCGGUCAUCUGCCCCGUCUGGUUACAGUCAUCAUCGAUGGCCUGAGUGGAGAAAGAGAGAAGACUGUAUGACAGUGGGUCUUUUCACACACCGUUUGGGCCUUUGUCUAGAUGGGGAUUAGCAAACAUUUUCUCAAUAUCAUGCGGUCUCAGUCACAGCGAUGCAACUCGGCCACGGUGGUACACAAGCAGCCAUAGAUAGAAAUGUGCCUGUAUAAAGCAACAAGCUUGGUGGUUGUUUAUAAAGCUUUAUAAAAUCAGCGGUGACCAUGGGCCAUAGUUUGCUGACUCCUGGACUAGAAUGAUCCCAUCCCUUCACUUGGGCCUGGUGAGAGGCAGUCACCUGUCCCGGGGCACACAAGGACAUCUGGCAUCCCCAGUGCCAAAUCGUUGCCCCCUGUAUAAUUCACAGAAGCCUCCCAUGAGCCAGGACCUGGGCCAGCUGCACUGGGGAACUGAGUGAGUAGGAACUAUCCCCUGACCCUAGUGAUUGGUUCAGGGAUUGGUACUUGACUCAAGCUGGACCCAUGAAGAGUCAGCUCUGGAAGUGUUCCUGAAGCUCUUGGGAAAGAGGCUCUUUUGUUUCUGCUGAGGUUGCUGGGCUCCUGAGAUAUGGGCCUGGAGGUGCAGAAGGUAAAAACAAGAUAGAGGAGUGGAGCGUAGAGCUGACAUGUGAACCUGGAUCAAGCCAUGCCUGAAGCUUGAAUUAUAUGAGCUAACAGGUUCACUUUUUGGCUUCUGCCAGUUUGAUUCUGACCCUGCCACCUAUAAUAAAGACUGUCCUGACCAGUUUAUCCUGUAUCUUCCCAGUUGGAGGCCCUGGUCCCAGAAACUGUUCCUGACAACCAGGACAGGCAGGACAUGAGUCUGAGACCCACCAGAGAACGGAGGGGGCAUCAAGAGGCCAUGAUGCCAGCACCAGUGUCCUGGGGCGCUGGUGAGAGACCUGGGUCCCCAGAGCCCUGAGCCUACCCAGACCGUGCCUUUUUGGCCUGUUCUCUGGUUAGGCCCCCCGCCUCAGCUUACUGACUUCUACUGAUUCCUUUGCUGUUUGUCAUCUCUCGUUUUCCACUGUCUGACUUGGGCGGGACACCCAACAACCUAUAUAGACUCAUCAGCCUCCGCCUCUCCCCAGGGACCGAUCCAGCCUGCUGGGAUCCCGGUCUUUUCCCACCAGGGCCCUGGCUCUACCUCUGAGCCUCCCGUGCGAUCCCAGUGCCCUGUCUGAUCUCUCAGUCUGUCACAUUCUUUCUCAGCCUUCAUCCCUAAGCUCCGCCCCUAGAUCUCUCCCCUCCCGCUGCAGUCGUCUGGGUCUCUUCUGAAGAUCCUCUGCCCCUCCCUGGGUGAGGCCACAAUGUCUAUCUCAAAUGGGAGGGUGUGGGCAGGCUACCCAAAGGAAGGCUGUCGCCUGCCCGGCCUCCAGAGGGAACAGCUGAGCCAGACACACACCCAGCCCAGGUGGGGGUGCCAGGUGGUAGGUAGCGUUCCAGCUCAAUGUUAGCCCCCAAGCUCCUCCCCAAGCCCCUGGCCUCCAGUCUCUCCCCUUCCAGCCUAUUCCUCACAGCCUCAGUUCUUCCACAACUUUCCUCUCUGUCCCUCCCAGCCAGACCCCAGCACCACCUUCACCUCCUCUCCGCCUCCCCUCACUCCCCGCAGCUCAAGCGCUGCCCCUCCGGCCACAGGUCUCUCUGCUCUGUCCCAUCAAGCCUCUCUUUCCCCCACCCAGACCAUCGCCACAGCCCCCAGGGCUCCCACUUUACCCCAUAGGACCCCCCCCCCCCCCCCCCCCCCCCCCCCCCCACCACCCGUCACCCUGCCCACCCUGCUCAAACUCUCCACCCAGCCUGGGGCCCCUGAAGCCUCAGCUCCUGCCCACCCCGCCGCCAGUCCUGAGCAGGGAUGGGGACGGGGGGGGGGGAUGGGCACACUUACCUGCUUGCCCAGCAGCACCAGGUCUACCUUCUCCUUCUCUGCCAGCUUGGCCAGGACCCGGGCCACCUGCAGGGGACCCAGGCGAUCUGCCUCUGCAGCUGGCACCUCCACGUGGAUGCCUCGGUCUGCGCCCAUGGCCAGAGCAGUGCGGAUGGUCUCCUG